GGCUUAUCAAUACGUUUGAAUAGUUGGCUAGCAGGCUUAGAUUAGGUUAUCAAUUUGUACGAAGUGUUUACCAAAGACCAACGAAUGUUAUGUAUUUCGGUCGGGUUUGUUAUUGCGCCUUAUUUUCCGAAUUUCAUUCGACGAUUUCACCAAUAAAAUGCUUUUUGGUCAUUAUGUUGAGUUUCUUGUAAUAAAAAUUAUUAUAAAUUGAUAUUAUUAAAUUUAAGGUUUUAUUUUUGUAUUCGUACGAUAUGUAAAUAAAAACCAUUAUCUUAUCUAAAAUAUUUAUAUACCUACCUACCUAUUUUGUACAAUUUUACUGUGAAGCUCUAAGAAUUCCUAUUUUAUAUGUGUGUAGAUUGUAAAUGCAAUAUUCAAUAUACUACGGGUUUUGUAAUUAUUAUUAAUGUAAGGUCAUGGGUGUGGUAAACCACAGAAUUGCUGCAUCUAGAUUCUAGAGGGUGUAGGGUCUGUUAACGACGCAAAAUCGCAGCGCCCUGCAUUUUAUGCAUAAUAUGCGCAACGACGCGUCGCGUCGCUUCUCGCUCUGACUGACCCUAAGCCACUGAUAGUAAAUAUAAUAUGUAAUAAAUUUUAUUAUUAUAAAGAUAAUCACUAAUUUGAUUUCUUAUAUUUAUUACGAAAACUGCCACACUAUAAAAAACCAAUAAUGGCAUAGACAAAAUAGAAAUUAUGUUACUUGGCGUUAUGUUCGUAUCGAAUGUACGUGUAAUAUUCUUCUGUGUUUGAAAUAUCCGAUUUCAGUAUUCUUGGUGUAUUUUCAAUACACAAAGCGAUUUGUUCUUUUGUAUUUGUUUUGUCGAUCCUUUAAUUCUUGCAAUUUGAUUGAGAAUUUGUAUAAUAAAUGUGCUUUUAAUAUGGA